rnacentral:rRNA from 1 species
GACAGAGGUGCCGAGCGUUAGGCGGAAUCACUGGGCUUAAAGCGUGUGUAGGCGGAGUUCUAAGUACCUCGUGAAAUCCCACGGCUUAGCCGUGGAACUGCUUGGUAUACUGGUUCUCUUGGGCCAUCUAGGGGCUAGCGGAACAAACGGUGGAGCGGUGAAAUGCGUAGAUAUCGUUUGGAACGCCAAUGGUGAAAACAGCUAGCUGGGGAUGUGCCGACGCUGAGACACGAAAGCCAGGGGAGCGAACGGG